rnacentral:rRNA from 1 species
GACGAACGCUGGCGGCGUGCCUAAUACAUGCAAGUCGAACGCAGUGGGGACGGGUGAGUAACACGUGGGUAACCUCCCAUCAGAGGGGAUAACACUUGGAAACAGGUGCUAAAUCCCUACUGAUUGAUGGACCAGUGGUGCUUUAGCGAGUUGGUGAGGUAACGGCUCACCAAGGCCACGAUGCAGAGCCGACCUGAAGUGGUGACGGGCCCACCUGGGACUGAGACACGGCCCAGACUCCUACGGGAGGCAGCAGUAGGGAAUCUUGGACAAUGGACGAAAGUCUGACCGAGCAACGCCGCGUGGGUGAAGAAGGUUUUCGGGUCGUAAAGCUCUUUUGUUAGGGAAGCGGUAUCUAACCAGAAAGCCCCGGCUAACUACGUGCCAGCCGCCGCGGUAAUUC